GACGGGUAUGGAGGUAGCGAAGAAAAGCUACUCACUGGAUUCUUCUCUACUCCCACUGCUUCACCUGACUCACCUUAA
rnacentral:sRNA from 1 species